rnacentral:rRNA from 1 species
CGCGUAGGCGGGCGAGCCAGUCCGGGGUGAAAUCUUUCGGCCCAACCGGAAAAGUGCCUUGGAGACGACUCGUCUAGAGGGAGGUAGGGGCAGACGGAACUUCCGGUGGAGCGGUGAAAUGCGUUGAUAUCGGAAGGAACGCCGGUGGCGAAAGCGGUCUGCUGGAUCUCUACUGACGCUGAUGCGCGAAAGCCAGGGGAGCGAACGGGAUUAGAUACCCCGGUAGUCCUGGCCCUAAACGAUGGGUACUAGGUAGUGGACUGUCAUGGGUUCCCUGCCGAAGCAAAAGUGUUAAGUACCCCGCCUGGGGAGUAUGGUCGCAAGGCUGAA